CAACAGAGGUGAGGCCUAGAACCUCACCCCCCGUUUUGAGAGAAAUCUUCUGCAUCCGUGGAUGUUUUGUUGCCCUCGUCUAGCUUGGAUUAAUACUUAGUCUAUAGGCACACACCUGAUCAUCUACAUUUGCCCUCUUACAGCACUAAAUUAUGUUUUCUACCUUUAUCUUGCAUCUACCUACCACUUCAGCAUUUUGUUAAAAAUAAUAAUAAUAAUAAUAACAAUAGGAGAAAUGUGGGAUCCACAUAUAAAUCAAGUAUAAAAAUCAAACGAAUAUUCAUAUUUGACCUGAUUGUUUAUUGUUCAUAAUAUGUGAUCAAAACUGAAAGUUUCUGUGAUGACUGCCCUUGUACUGUUCACCAUGUAAGAAUUUAUUCACUAUGUAAGAAUUUGUUCACCAUGUAAGAACUUGUCCGUUAUGCUUCAGAAGAUUGGAGACUGACGAGGAUUAGGCUUGGGGUGGAUUAAUGAUUGU